rnacentral:rRNA from 1 species
UACAGAGGGGGCAAGCGUUAUUCGGAAUUAUUGGGCGUAAAGGGCGCGUAGGCGGCUUUUCAAGUGGCGGGUGAAAUCCCUCGGCUUAACCGAGGAACUGCCUGCCAGACUGAAUGGCUUGAGACCGGGAGAGGUGAGUGGAAUUCCCAGUGUAGCGGUGAAAUGCGUAGAUAUUGGGAGGAACACCAGUGGCGAAGGCGGGUCUCUGGGCCGAUACUGACACUGAGGAGCGAAAGCGUGGGGAGCGAACAGG